UUGUUUUAUAAAAGUAAAGAAGUAGGUUGGCAGCUACCUUGACAAAAAUGGAAAACCUUCUGGGGACCUUUAUCACACAUAUACAUUUAAAGUGUCACUACCUUUUUUGUAGCACCUAACAGUAUUUUUUU
rfam:Cavia porcellus supercont2_39 genomic scaffold, whole genome shotgun sequence.